AGCGUACACGGUGGAUGCCCUGGCAGUCAGAGGCGAUGAAGGACGUGCUAAUCUGCGAUAAGCGUCGGUAAGGUGAUAUGAACCGUUAUAACCGGCGAUUUCCGAAUGGGGAAACCCAGUGUGUUUCGACACACUAUCAUUAACUGAAUCCAUAGGUUAAUGAGGCGAACCGGGGGAACUGAAACAUCUAAGUACCCCGAGGAAAAGAAAUCAACCGAGAUUCCCCCAGUAGCGGCGAGCGAACGGGGAGCAGCCCAGAGCCUGAAUCAGUGUGUGUGUUAGUGGAAGCGUCUGGAAAGGCGCGCGAUACAGGGUGACAGCCCCGUACACAAAAAUGCACAUACUGUGAGCUCGAUGAGUAGGGCGGGACACGUGGUAUCCUGUCUGAAUAUGGGGGGACCAUCCUCCAAGGCUAAAUACUCCUGACUGACCGAUAGUGAACCAGUACCGUGAGGGAAAGGCGAAAAGAACCCCGGCGAGGGGAGUGAAAAAGAACCUGAAACCGUGUACGUACAAGCAGUGGGAGCCUCUUUUAUGGGGUGACUGCGUACCUUUUGUAUAAUGGGUCAGCGACUUAUAUUCUGUAGCAAGGUUAACCGAAUAGGGGAGCCGAAGGGAAACCGAGUCUUAACCGGGCGUUAAGUUGCAGGGUAUAGACCCGAAACCCGGUGAUCUAGCCAUGGGCAGGUUGAAGGUUGGGUAACACUAACUGGAGGACCGAACCGACUAAUGUUGAAAAAUUAGCGGAUGACUUGUGGCUGGGGGUGAAAGGCCAAUCAAACCGGGAGAUAGCUGGUUCUCCCCGAAAGCUAUUUAGGUAGCGCCUCGUGAAUUCAUCUCCGGGGGUAGAGCACUGUUUCGGCAAGGGGGUCAUCCCGACUUACCAACCCGAUGCAAACUGCGAAUACCGGAGAAUGUUAUCACGGGAGACACACGGCGGGUGCUAACGUCCGUCGUGAAGAGGGAAACAACCCAGACCGCCAGCUAAGGUCCCAAAGUCAUGGUUAAGUGGGAAACGAUGUGGGAAGGCCCAGACAGCCAGGAUGUUGGCUUAGAAGCAGCCAUCAUUUAAAGAAAGCGUAAUAGCUCACUGGUCGAGUCGGCCUGCGCGGAAGAUGUAACGGGGCUAAACCAUGCACCGAAGCUGCGGCAGCGACACUGUGUGUUGUUGGGUAGGGGAGCGUUCUGUAAGCCUGUGAAGGUGUACUGUAAGGUAUGCUGGAGGUAUCAGAAGUGCGAAUGCUGACAUAAGUAACGAUAAAGCGGGUGAAAAGCCCGCUCGCCGGAAGACCAAGGGUUCCUGUCCAACGUUAAUCGGGGCAGGGUGAGUCGACCCCUAAGGCGAGGCCGAAAGGCGUAGUCGAUGGGAAACAGGUUAAUAUUCCUGUACUUGGUGUUACUGCGAAGGGGGGACGGAGAAGGCUAUGUUGGCCGGGCGACGGUUGUCCCGGUUUAAGCGUGUAGGCUGGUUUUCCAGGCAAAUCCGGAAAAUCAAGGCUGAGGCGUGAUGACGAGGCACUACGGUGCUGAAGCAACAAAUGCCCUGCUUCCAGGAAAAGCCUCUAAGCAUCAGGUAACAUCAAAUCGUACCCCAAACCGACACAGGUGGUCAGGUAGAGAAUACCAAGGCGCUUGAGAGAACUCGGGUGAAGGAACUAGGCAAAAUGGUGCCGUAACUUCGGGAGAAGGCACGCUGAUAUGUAGGUGAAGUCCCUCGCGGAUGGAGCUGAAAUCAGUCGAAGAUACCAGCUGGCUGCAACUGUUUAUUAAAAACACAGCACUGUGCAAACACGAAAGUGGACGUAUACGGUGUGACGCCUGCCCGGUGCCGGAAGGUUAAUUGAUGGGGUCAGCGCAAGCGAAGCUCUUGAUCGAAGCCCCGGUAAACGGCGGCCGUAACUAUAACGGUCCUAAGGUAGCGAAAUUCCUUGUCGGGUAAGUUCCGACCUGCACGAAUGGCGUAAUGAUGGCCAGGCUGUCUCCACCCGAGACUCAGUGAAAUUGAACUCGCUGUGAAGAUGCAGUGUACCCGCGGCAAGACGGAAAGACCCCGUGAACCUUUACUAUAGCUUGACACUGAACAUUGAGCCUUGAUGUGUAGGAUAGGUGGGAGGCUUUGAAGUGUGGACGCCAGUCUGCAUGGAGCCGACCUUGAAAUACCACCCUUUAAUGUUUGAUGUUCUAACGUGGACCCGUGAUCCGGGUUGCGGACAGUGUCUGGUGGGUAGUUUGACUGGGGCGGUCUCCUCCUAAAGAGUAACGGAGGAGCACGAAGGUUGGCUAAUCCUGGUCGGACAUCAGGAGGUU
rnacentral:rRNA from 1 species